rnacentral:rRNA from 1 species
UUGAACGCUGGCGGUAUGCUUAACACAUGCAAGUCGAACGGAAACGAUACUAGCUUGCUAGUAGGCGUCGAGUGGCGGACGGGUGAGUAACGCGUAGGAAUCUGCCUGAUAGUGGGGGAUAGCCCGAAGAAAUUCGGAUUAAUACCGCAUAAUCUAUUCGUAGUAAAGUGGGGGACUUUCGAGCCUCACGCUAUCAGAUGAGCCUGCGUAAGAUUAGCUUGUUGGUAGGGUAAAAGCCUACCAAGGCAACGAUCUUUAGCUGGUCUGAGAGGAUGAUCAGCCACAUCGGGACUGAGACACGGCCCGAACUCCUACGGGAGGCAGCAGUGGGGAAUAUUGGACAAUGGGGGCAACCCUGAUCCAGCAAUACCGCGUGUGUGAAGAAGGCCUGAGGGUUGUAAAGCACUUUCAAUUGUGAAGAAAAGUUAACGGUUAAUAACCGUUGACCUUGACGUUAACUUUAGAAGAAGCACCGGCUAACUCCGUGCCAGCAGCCGCGGUAAUACGGAGGGUGCAAGCGUUAAUCGGAAUUACUGGGCGUAAAGCGUGCGUAGGCGGUUUAUUAAGUCAGAUGUGAAAGCCCCGGGCUUAACCUGGGAACUGCAUUUGAAACUGGUCAACUAGAGUAUGGUAGAGGAAAGUGGAAUUUCUGGUGUAGCGGUGAAAUGCGUAGAUAUCAGAAGGAACAUCAAUGGCGAAGGCAGCUUUCUGGACCAAUACUGACGCUGAGGUACGAAAGCGUGGGUAGCAAACAGGAUUAGAUACCCUGGUAGUCCACGCCGUAAACGAUGAUAACUAGCCGUUGGGGGGAUUUACCCCUUAGUGGCGAAGCCAACGCGUUAAGUUAUCCGCCUGGGGAGUACGGCCGCAAGGCUAAAACUCAAAGGAAUUGACGGGGACCCGCACAAGCGGUGGAGCAUGUGGUUUAAUUCGAUGCAACGCGAAGAACCUUACCUGGUCUUGACAUCCUGCGAACUUUCUAGAAAUAGAUUGGUGCCUUCGGGAACGCAGUGACAGGUGCUGCAUGGCUGUCGUCAGCUCGUGUCGUGAGAUGUUGGGUUAAGUCCCGUAACGAGCGCAACCCCUAUCCUUAUUUGCCAGCACAUUAUGGUGGGAACUAUAAGGAGACUGCCGGUGAUAAACCGGAGGAAGGCGGGGACGACGUCAAGUCAUCAUGGCCCUUACGACCAGGGCUACACACGUGCUACAAUGGGAAGGACAAAGAGCCGCGAAGCCGCGAGGUGUAGCUAAUCUCAUAAAUCUUUUCGUAGUCCGGAUUGGAGUCUGCAACUCGACUCCAUGAAGUCGGAAUCGCUAGUAAUCGUAGAUCAGAAUGCUACGGUGAAUACGUUCCCGGGUCUUGUACACACCGCCCGUCAUACCAUGGGAGUGGGUUGCACCAGAAGUGGCUAGUCUAACUUUGUGAGGACGGUCACCACGGUGUGAUUCAUGACUGGGGUA